UCGGGAAUUUUGGGCAAUGGGCGAAAGCCUGACCCAGCAACGCCGCGUGAGGGAUGAAGUAUUUCGGUAUGUAAACCUCGAAAGAAUGGGAAGAAUAAAUGACGGUACCAUUUAUAAGCUCCGGCUAACUACGUGCCAGCAGCCGCGGUAAUACGUAGGGAGCAAGCGUUGUCCGGAUUUACUGGGUGUAAAGGGUGCGCAGGCGGAUGGGUAAGUCAGGGGUGAAAGUCUGCAGCUUAACUGUAGAAUUGCCUUUGAUACUGCUCAUCUUGAGUGUGGGAGAGGUUGAUGGAAUUCCAGGUGUAGCAGUGAAAUGCGUAGAUAUCUGGAAGAACACCAGUGGCGAAGGCGGUCAACUGGCCCAUAACUGACGCUCAUGCACGAAAGCGUGGGGAGCAAACA
rnacentral:rRNA from 1 species